AUCUAACCCCAUGGCUGCUGACCAUUCUAAUACUGAUGAGAGUCCGGAGACACCAACUAGUAGGAAUCCAACUUCAAACUCAUUGGUAGCCCCACAGCCUUCUACGGAUCCUGAUCCACGACCACGAUCACCACGAGUCCCCAAACGUAAUUUGUGUCUUCAGCAAUGGGAAAUACUAUUCGUAUUCAUCUUGAUGAUUGAAGGUUUUGCAGCAUUUAAUUGAGAUAUUGGGAGAUCUACUUGUAUUAACUUAAUGUUGGUUUCCGCUUUCUACUUGUGGAGUUGUAUUUGCCCAAUUUCUUUUGUUGUUUUCUAUUGGGACUUAUUUAUUUAUUUUGUUGUUUUAUU